rnacentral:rRNA from 1 species
CAAUAGCGUAUAUUAAAGUUGUUGCAGUUAAAAAGCCCGUAGUUGGAUUUCUGGUAGGAGUGACCGUGCCAGACUUGAUUGUCUGUGUAUUGUGUUGUCUCCAGCCAUCCUUGUGGAGAACUUUUCUUGCAUUAAUUUGUAGGGAUUGGGACCCGCAUCGUUUACUGUGAAAAAAUUAGAGUGUUUAAAGCAGGCAAUCGCUUGAAUACAUUAGCAUGGAAUAAUAAGAUAGGACUUUGGUACUAUUUUGUUGGUUUGCAUACCAAAUUAAUGAUCAACAGGAACAGUUUGAGGAUAUUCGUAUGAACAUGUCAGAGGUGAAAUUCUUGGAUCUUGAUCAGACGAACUACUGCGAAAGCAUUUAUCAAGGAUGUUUUCAUUAA